GCCGAUUGGCAGCGGGCGGGUGACGUGCGCGCCCCGCGGAGGCCGAAGGGGCGCGGGCGGCGAUGGGGCAGCGAGGCCCGCCUCUGAGUCUUGAGGGGAAGAGGGCCUUCACGGUGGGCCUUUCACGUCCGGAGGCCCAAGAAAGGAUACUGUGUCCAAGGAGGUAAAGCACGUGAGAGCACUGUGUAACCGGAAGGUGCCUUUCAAAAGGCUCAUUCACGUGGCUCUCUUCACAUGGUCUUUCAUUCCAGACUUACUCAUAGCAUGGAGGCCCAGGGCAGUGUUCCAGAAAGUGACAAAGGAAGCUGUGGAGCCUCUCGAGGCCUCAGCCACAGAAGCUGCACUAAGUCACAGCUACUGCAUGCAGUGGUUAAAGCAGCUCCAGAUUUGCUCCUGCUACCUGGUAGGAUGGAACACCUGACCAUGGGACAUCAAGUGACUGCGUGAAUAAUCAAACCACCUGUCGUGAACUGAUGUUAUCUGAUUCACCAAACCGUACAGCUGGAUGAGCACAGAAGCAGUCCACUCCCUGUUAGACUGGGAACUGGCUACAGCUAAACUAAAUGAGCAGGUGACUCCGACUCCUGUAGUCCCUGACCCUGCUCCUUCAGCAUUUUUCCCCCAACCCAUAUAAAUUGCUUCAGGAGGAGUUCCUUCUGACCAGUUAAUGGAAGAGAAAAAAGUGUGGGUCCUAUUCUUUCUUGAAAGAAUCUGCAGUGAGCUGGCCACAGCUGGAUGUGAAUGGUCAGUAAAAUCACCACGCAUCAGUGGCCCUGACACAUAAUAGUAAAGGGAAAUCUUUCCAUAGGGAAUAACUUUAGGACACAUGGCCUGAGGUAGGGGUAUAUACUUGUCACUGUCUUAUGAGUUGACAGGCUAGACGAGAACUCAGAGAGAACAAAUCUGAAAACUGGCCAGUUAUGAUACAAUAACCUGCAAAUUAGGGAUGCUGGCCUAAACAAUGAAGUAUAUGCUUAGAAUCCAUAAUCAAUAUAUGGUGCUACCUUCCCCAGAAGGUGUAUAGAGUGGGGAUGAGAGUAGUCCCUCUAUUUUUCAGUAUGGCUAAUUUUGUUAAAAAAAAAAAUCAGGUGGCAUGUUUUCCAAAUUUGGUGAAAAGCAUAGAACUAUAAAUCCACAAAGCUCAGUAAAUCGCAAGCAGAAAAGUUACAAUGAAAGUCACACCUAUGCAUGUUAUAGUCAAACUGAUAAAAUACAGAAAAACAAAAGCAUCCAGAGAAAUUAUACAUUAUAUGCAAGAUGACAGUUGUAUUUUUUUAAAUAAGCUUUUUAAUGGAAGCAUAACAUAUGUAUAGAAAAACACAAAUAUAAUUGUUUAGCGUGACAUCACAAAAUGAAGGUAACUAUAGUUACCACCCACAUCAAUAAUUAUGUCCGUUCUUAGUCAUUACUCUUCAUCCUUCCCAAGGCUAAUCACCAUCCUGAAUUCUAACACCAAAGAUUAGGUUUGAUAGUGGUUAACCUUUAUAUAAAUUGAAUGCAUAAUGUAUCUUUAGUUUCUGGCUUCUUUUAUCUAACAUUGUAAGAUUUAUCCAUGUUGUUACCUGGAGCAGGUAACAUUCAUUCAUUCAUUUUCAUUGCUAUUCGGUAUUCUACUUUAUAUCACAUUUAUUUAUCCAUUCUAUUCCUGAUAGAUACUAGAGAUGUUUCUAUUCUUUGGCUAUUAGGAGAGCUUCUAUGAACAUUGUUGUGUAUGUCUUUUGGUGUACACAUGUACACAUUUGGGCUGCAUUCUCUUAUUAUGCCUAGUAAACCACUAGAGGAAUUUUUUGGUCUGUGAAGCAUCAGUCUUAGUGGCUUUGGAGGUUUUAGUACUCAAGGGAAGAAUGAUUCCUAGGAAACAUGGUUUCAGUGAAUUAGAAGUGGACAUGGCUUGCUGGCAGGACUUUUUCCUAUCAUUAACCAACGAGGGGGUGGGGGUGGGGUGCGGGGGGAACACUACUGACAAAGGGGAAAGAUUCCUUUUAAAAGGGGGAGCUUCGAUUGCUGUUGCAUAGUGGAGUGUGUAGGACUUUAUAUGGAAUGUAUGAUAUUCACCAGUAUUCUCGGCCAGCAGUCAGUGAAAACACUAGGGUAACCCAAAAAGGACCUCCACUUGGUUUCAUCUUCUAAGAAUGAAUGUUUGGGUCACCCUACCUGGCUCAGACGGUAAAGUGUCUGCCUGCAAUGUGGGAGACCUGGGUUUGAUCCCUGGGUCAGGAAGAUCCCCUGGAGAAGGAAAUGGCCACCCACUCCAGUACUCUUGCCUAGAAAAUUCCAUGGAUGGAGGAGCCUGGUGGGCUACAGUCCAUGGGGUCGAAAAGAGUCGGACACGACUGAGCAACUUCACUUUUAUCUGGUAAAGAAUUCCAUUCAGCUUAGGUGCAAGCAAGGAGUGAGAGAAACCUAGAUGGGUGGUGAUAGAAAGCAGCUAUGCUCACGAACCUAGUCUUCAUGACCAGCUAAAACACUGGUUUUAUGAAACUAUAAAUUAUGUUUUGUUACUUAUUUCUCUUCUCCCUUACCAUAUAUGAAAAAGUCUGGGGUGGAUAAUGUUUUUGGCUUCAGAUGAGAGUGUGACUGAAUUGAUACCACCCCAUGAUCAGUAGCUGAUAGAAGGAGAGUGUAUGGUGGAAAAGAGUUGAGAUAAGUGCUUAUAUUCCCCCUGGCUCCCUCCAUUAGAGGUUGCCCUGAACUGAAUGUGUACCUUGACCAAAGAUUAUUGCCUCUCUCACCUGAACUCUUGACAGUUCUCUCUCCCUCAAGACUUUGGUUAAUUUCUUCUGUCUCUUGGAGCUUAAGAGAGGUACAGUUCCCCUGUUGUUAGCCCUGGAUUACAGAAUUAUCCUUGUAAUUCUGUUAUACCCUAUACACACAUUUGAAAUUAGUCCCUCUGUUUAAAACAAUCCUGAGUGUGUCACUUGUUUCCUGUUAGGGCUCUUGACACAUGAGCUUUAAAUCUCCUGUAUUGUGUCUUGGAUAUUAGCAUAGCCAGUCUUUCUUUUAGUUUUUGCAAAACUCUUCACUUUAAACUUUUCUGUAUUCUAAUAUUUACCUCUUGAAAACAGGUUAAAGGUGUAUCUUUAUAAAUCCAAGGCAGCAGUCUUAUCUUUUAAUUGGGAUAGUCAAUUUAAGUUUAAUGUUUUUACUGAUAUAUGAGGCUUUAAAGCUGCUAUCCUACUGUUUCUUGUCUCCCCUGCUCUUCACUUUUUUUUCUCUACUUUCUUCAUCCUUUGUGAUGUGUCAGGUUUAUUUAUUCCCCUUUUCCUUAUAGUUAUGUCUUUUUGUUGUUGUUUAGUCACUAAGUCAUGUCUGACUCUUUUGUAGCCCCAUGGACUACAAUCCACCAGGCUCUUCUGUCCAUGGGAUUUCCCAAGCAAGAAUACUGGAGUGGGUUGCCAUUUCCUUCCAGGGGAUCUUCCUGACCCAGGGGUCAAACCUGCGUCUCCUGCACUGGCAGACAGAUUCUUUACCGCUGAGCCGCCAAGGAGGCCUGCAUGUCUUUUGACUAUAGUUUAAUUGCUGUAGAAAUUAGACUGUGCAUCCUUAACAUCUAAAAGUCUAGUAUAGGCACUUCUCUGGUAGUCCAGUGGUACAGACUCUAAUGCUGUGCAGGAUCAAUGAUAACAGCACUUAUCAGUGCUGAUCCUGGUACAGGAUCAAUGCUGGGGACCCAGGUCUGAUCCCUGGUCAGGGAACUAGAUCCCACUUGCGAAACUAGGAGUUUGCAUGCUGAUACAGAGUUCACAUGCCGCAACUAAGACCCAUCGCAGCCAAAUAAAUUAAAAAUAAUAAUAAAAAAAUAAAAGUCUAGUAUACUUUAGUACUUUAUCCACUUCCUGGACAAUGUGAAUACCCUUGACCCCUUUAUCCCCAUAUUCUCAAUUUAUGUGUUGUUAAUGUUAAAAUCUGUAUGUUUUAAAUACCACAAUAAGUCAGCAUUGUUUUGUAAAAGUAAUUAUUUGUUGACAUUUACCCAUAUAUUUUCUUUACUGUUCUUCAUCCCUUUCAAAAUCUAAGAACUUCCAUCUGAGAACAUUUCUGUCUACGCAAAGGUUACUCUUUCCUCCAAGGCAGAGGUGAAAAAAGUGAAAGUGAAAGUCUGGCAGUUGUGUCCAAUUCUUUGCGACCCCAUACAUGGAAUUCUCCAGGCCAGAAUACUGGAGUGGGUAGCUGUUCCCUUCUCCAGGCGAUCUUCCCAACCCAGGGAUUGAACCCAGGUCUCCUGCAAUGUGUAUUCUUUACCAGCUGAGCCACCAGAGAAGCCCAGUUUUCAGUUUCUAUUUGUUUGAAAAUAGCUUUAUAGUGUCUUAACUUUUGAAAGUUAUAUCAUCUGAAUAUGAAUUCUGUUUUCUUUUAGUACUCUAAAGAUAGCAUCAUUUGGUUCCAAAGGAGCUGUCUUAUUGUCAUUCAUUUGAUAGAAUAAUUUUCUUACCUACGGAUGCUCAACAUUUCCCCCUCUUUGAAUAUCAGCAGUUAGCAUCUUUCACUUUUAGCAUAGUUAGCAUAGUUCACUUUUAAUAUGAAGUGCUUAGGUGUUAUUUUCUUUGCCUUUUCCUUAAAGGUUUAUAAUGCUUCUUGAAUCUAAAGCAUGAUGCUUUUUCUUUAUUUGAGACAUCUCUUUCAGUAUUGCUUUGUUACAGUCCCUCAUGCUUCUCCUUCUGGGUUUUAAUUAUAUACCUAUGUGGGACUUUUUUUUUUUUUUUACUCUGUAUCUCCUACCUUUUAAAUUUUUUCCAUUUUUCAUCUUUUAGUCUUUUUGUUAAUCUGUCUGCAGAUUCUUCUGAAUUUUCUUCCAGUUCCCUAAUUUUGUCUUCAACUCUGUAUAAUUGGCUAUUAAAUCCAUUCACUGGGUUUUUAUUGUAUCUUUCAAUAAUAGAAUUCCAUUUGGUUGUGUUUCCAUUCUCCACAUACUUACUCAUAUUUUAAGUUCCUGAACAGAUUAAUCAUAGUAUUUCGGGGAAUUUGGGGGAGGGCUGUGCCACAUAUCUUGUGGGGUCUUAGUUCUCCCCAACCAGGGAUUGAACCUGGGCCACCUCAGUAAAAGCCCUGAGUCCUAUCCAGUGGACCACCAGGGAACUCCCUAAUUACACUGUUUUAAAGUCUUCAUUUCAUAAUCCCCGUGAGUCCUGUUUCUAUGGUUGCUUCUCUGUCUUGUCAUGUCAUCUCAUAUACCUAAUUAUUGUUUUAUGUGUGCUGGAUAUUGUAUAUAAACAAUUGUAGAGAUAUUUUGAGGCUUGGGAUAGCAUGAGUUUCUUUUAGAGAGGAUUUUUUUAACUUCUUUAGGUAGCGAGGGCCAUUAGCAUCCUCAAAUCACUGCAAUCCAGUUGAGAAUGGAGAUGAUUCAGCUCCAAUCUAUUUUUGGUCCACUCUGACUUGUAGGGUGCAGCACGUUAGAAUCUCAACAGAAAGACUGAGGUGCUUGUCUCUUGGUGAGCCCAACUCUAGUUUUUCUCCUCUUCUCCCCUCACCUAGGUCUGUGAGCUUGCAAAAGGCUUUGUUCUUAGUUGCUUCUGGAAGAGAGAGGCCUCCAUCAGAGAGGCUGUAAGCGCCUCUCCAACCUGUCUGCGUCUACUAGGUCUUAGCCAUGAAAUCCUCACAGUUUUGAGAGCUUUUCAAUGCCUUCAUACAGAUAUAUUUCUUUGUUUUGUCUCAGCUUUCCUAGUUGUUCUCAGCAGAAACAUGAUCAAAACCACAUAGUCCUUCAUUACCAGAAGUGGAACCGCAGCGGUCUUUUUUUUUUUUUUAAUUACGGUAUAGUUGAUGCACAAUAUUGUAUCAGUUUCAGAUAUACAACACAAUGAUUCACAAUUUUUAAAGGUUAUAGUCAGUUUAUAGUUAUAAAUAAAAUAACCAUAUUCCCUGUGCUGUACAAUACAUCCUUGGAGCUGAUUUAUUUUAUGCCUAGUUGUUUGUAUCUCUUGAUCCUCUACUCCUAUUUUGCCCCUUCCCCCACCCCUGUCCCCUUUGGUAACCACUAGUUUGUUCUUUGUACCUGUGAGUCUGUUUCUUUUUUGUUAUAUUCACUAGUUUAUUUUUUAUAUUCAACAUAUAUGUGAGAUCAUACAGUAUUUGUCUCUGACCCAUUUUACUGAGCAUAGUACCCUCCACGUCCCACCGUGUUGUUAGCAAAUGGCAAGAUUUCAUUCUUUUUAAUGAAAUAGUAUUCCAGUGUGUAUAUGUAUAUAUAUAUAUCACAUCUCCUUUAACCAUUCAUGCACUGAUGGACAUUUCUGUUGCGAAGACUGUUUUUUUAAUGUCAAAAAUCUUACCGCUGCUUCCUGCCCCCUCUCCAUCAAAACACACAAGGUAGUAGUUAUACAUAUACAUGGUCUAUAAACUAUGUAUAAAUAAUACAUAUAUAUAUAAUAAAUGUUCAGGUCCCUGCAAUAAUUGUUACUCGGGGAUAUGUAACUCAGAGAAGGGAAACACUGCUAAAAGCAAAGGCAGUCUCAGAAAAGUUAAAAGUUAUGUUCAAAGGAACAAGAGAAGCCCAGUAUGAUUAAAGAUUUCACAUAUGAAACAGA